rnacentral:rRNA from 1 species
UUCUCCUGGAAAACGGGUGGUAAUACCGGAUGCUCCGCUCCAUCGCAUGGUGGGGUGGGAAAUGCUUUUGCGGCAUGGGAUGGGGUCGCGUCCUAUCAGCUUGUUGGCGGGGUGAUGGCCCACCAAGGCGUUGACGGGUAGCCGGCCUGAGAGGGUGACCGGCCACAUUGGGACUGAGAUACGGCCCAGACUCCUACGGGAGGCAGCAGUGGGGAAUAUUGCACAAUGGGCGCAAGCCUGAUGCAGCGACGCCGCGUGCGGGAUGGAGGCCUUCGGGUUGUAAACCGCUUUUGUUCAAGGGCAAGGCACGGUUUCGGCCGUGUUGAGUGGAUUGUUCGAAUAAGCACCGGCUAACUACGUGCCAGCAGCCGCGGUAAUACGUAGGGUGCGAGCGUUAUCCGGAUUUAUUGGGCGUAAAGGGCUCGUAGGCGGUUCGUCGCGUCCGGUGUGAAAGUCCAUCGCCUAACGGUGGAUCUGCGCCGGGUACGGGCGGGCUGGAGUGCGGUAGGGGAGACUGGAAUUCCCGGUGUAACGGUGGAAUGUGUAGAUAUCGGGAAGAACACC